AAGAGGGUGUCUCGGUUUCUCAGGGUAGCACUGGACGACUUCCUGCACACCUCCAAACUUUGUCUUUCCUAUCAGAAACUUCCCUGACUUGCUUGCCAUGGCUCCUUUCCUCCUCACCUGAAAGCACCUUAAUCAGUCUUCCCACUAAUCAUUUCUCCCUGCCAUCGGGCUACUAGCCCGGCUAAGGAGUCCUGGUCAGGGCGUAAGGCCGGGUGCGCAGGAUUGGCCUCCACUAACCCGCGCAUGUCGGCCCUCACCACGGUCUAACCUCCGUUACUGCCCGCGAAUCUUGUGGGCUGAUAAGUUGCCUUCCCACAUCCAUUUACAAACUGCCCCAGCUCUGUUGGAAAGGUACAGCCUCCACUACGCAGGUGGAGAACGAAGCCACUGGGGACCGGUUCGAGGAAAGGAGAGAGCAGUGAGCUCCUCGUAA
rnacentral:lncRNA from 1 species